GACGAACCGUGCGAACGUUAUUCGGAAUCACUGGGCUUAAAGCGCGUGUAGGCGGCCAGAUAAGUCCGCUGUGAAAUCUCGAGGCUCAACUUCGAGCUGUCGGUGGAAACUGUCUGGCUAGAGUCCGGAAGAGGAGAAUGGAAUUCCUGGUGUAGCGGUGAAAUGCGCAGAUAUCAGGAAGAACACCCGUGGCGAAGGCGGUUCUCUGGGACGGUACUGACGCUGAGACGCGAAAGCGUGGGGAGCGAACAGG
rnacentral:rRNA from 1 species